AAGAUUAUGUUACCAAACCAAUAGAAUGUGUCUCCCUGGUUCAAAGGCUCUGUAAUACAUCUGUCCCUUCAUGACCUUCAUGAUUGGGACCAAAAGGUCCAUGUCUUUAUCUAAAUCCACAGUUAAUUAUUGGACAGAAAACAGAAUAGGGCAGAGAUGUGCAAAGAGCUUGGAGCUGGGAGUCUGAGCCUAGGGCCCAGUCCCUACUCCAGCCUCUCCAUAUGACCUUGGGAAACUUCUUCUCUCCUGGCCUCAGUCUUUCCCACUGUAAAAGGAGGAGAUAUGAGAUGGACAAUUGAGCCAUUGGGGGAUCAGGGCCCCAGAAAGCUCUAAUAAAGCUGUUAAAUAAUUCUCAUUGUUAGCAGAGUUCUUGGCUCACAAACUUUGGACCCCGAAUGCAUGUAGUUGUGAAAUCUAGUCAAUUAACUUUCCCAUCCUGUUAUCAGCUCUGGUUAUGGCAUAAUGAGGCAAUGGCUGAAGUACAAAGUGUUGACAGAGGCCAAGUGUGUCUUCACACAUUUGCUGAUUAAGUGAGCCUGAAAAGCUGCCCUACCGUCAGUGACGCAGAGUGCAGAUUUGCCAGCGAACACACAUGGGGUCCAGCAGCAUCCAGCUCCUAGGUGACCAGAGCAGAGGACCAGGGAUGAGCAGCUGCUCAGCAUGCCCUUGCCUUUCACCUCUGUCUCCAGCUCCUGUUACUGUUGACCCUGUUGCAGAGGCCCUGGCAGUGCAGAGAUGAACCAGACACCAUCCCUGUUCUCAGGCUGCUCACAGACUUGAGAGGAAGACAGACAUGGAAACUGGCCAAACAAAAUACAAAUUUGACUGGUGGCUGCCUGCUUUCAACCUCUCUGGUGGAGAGAAUUCAAGCAACAGAGCAGCUGAGCACUAGACAAGAUGCAUCCCUACGACUCAAGCUAGAGAGCCUGAGGUUGGCUGUAGCAAACGGCUCAAGUCUCUCAUUCCUCCACUCCCACCCAAUACCUGCCCCACAGAGCUUGGAAGACAGGCCUCACUUUCCUAUUUCCCUGUGAGGACUUACUGAUACAUGUCUGCAGAUCAUGCAAUGAUGAGAAAUAGGGCUAUAAAUAUACAAGGAUGAUGCGACCAUCAGACUUAAAACCUUAUGUCAGACCCUGCCCCAACUCAAGUUCUCUGCCAUCCAGGAGUUCAAACUUCAGACCAGAGCUCCUUUCUGUGCCCAUAAAUAUCCCAAAACUUUCCAGGCCUCUCUGCUCUCUGCCCCUGGCCACAGUCUUGGCUCUAGCCCAUUUCCCCCGCUGCCUCCAACCCUCACCAACUCCUGUCCUUGCAGCUGCCUUGAUAAAGAAGAAUUUCCCACCUCCUUCCAGCUUUCAGUCCUUUGCCUUCUCCUCAAACUUGUCACAGACUGGCAAGCCUAUCUGGAGGCCAGCAUGCCCACUCUCUGCUUUAUCACUUCUGCUCUAAGGGCCUCCAGAAUGACUCUGAAGUCGGACAGACUUGGAACUGAAUCCUUACCCUACCUCUCACUAGAUGAAUAAAUAACCGCAGGCACUUCACUUAACCUCUCUGUGCUUCAAUUUCCACAUCUGUGGAAAGGGAAUAUCAGUAAUGCUUAUUGCCUCAGGUAGGCAUAAGGAAUAAUGAAAUAAAGCCCUUGAAGAUUAUUAACCUCAAUGCCAGGUGGAAGAUCUGGGGCCCAGAAAGACAAACACGGCAGGCCAUGGUCACACAGCAUGUCUGUGAAAGAAGUAGGACUGAACCCAGGUUUCCUGGGGAUCCUGGCUCUGGACUCCAUGCACUGCCUGGGAAGGAUUUCUGCUGGGUUGUGAAGACCAGUGAGAGUUUUCAAGCCAGAACCUGGUAGGAUCACAGUGAGGACCAAGUAAGAUGUCCAUUUCCAGUCCUAACAAAAGACUGUUGUCCUCUUUGCAUGAAAGCCAACCAUGUACUAGGUAUACUACAUGCUUUAUAGACAUGAACUAGUCUUUCCUCAAAAGGAAACAAUCAUU